CCCCGUCGCGUUUAUCGAGGAGACAGGUGAAAACUGAGGUUUAGAGAGGGUAAAUAACUUGCCCAAAAUCUGGAAAAGUUUGCCAACCCCUGGUCUUACUCCUCAUUAAGGUUUCCCUUCCUCUCCACCAUUCCCAAAUCUGAGUAUUCCAGAAGAGCUACUGUUUUUUUAAUGAUAUGGUAAAUUAAUUUCUAAAGGGAUUAAAAUGAAUACCUACCUGUUGUAAUGAAAAUAAAUGUAUAACAUAAAGCAAUCUGCAAAAUACACAGAGAGCAUUGGGAUCAGUCAUGGAGCCCUGCCAGGGAUGAUGGGGAUUGAGAGCAGCCAAAUACCC
rnacentral:lncRNA from 1 species